AGCAGCCGCGGUAAUUCCAGCUCCAAUAGCGUAUAUUAAAGUUGUUGCAGUUAAAAAGCUCGUAGUUGAAUUUCGGGGUCAGCAGGUUGGUCGUGCCACUGGUAUGCACUGGCCUUGCUGAUUCCUCCCUCUUGAUGAACCGUAAUGCCAUUAAUUUGGUGUUGCAGGGAAUCAGGACUGUUACUUUAGAAAAAAUUAGAGUGUUUAAAGCAGGCAAGCGCUUGAAUACAUUAGCAUGGAAUAAUGAAAUAGGACGUUUGAUCCUAUUUUGUUGGUUUCUAGGAUUGACGUAAUGAUUAAUAGGGAUAGUUGGGGGCAUUAGUAUUCAAUUGUCAGAGGUGAAAUUCUUGGAUUUUAUUGAAGACUAACUACUGCGAAAGCAUUUGCCAAGGAUGUUUUCAUUAAUCAAGAACGAAAGUUAGGGGAUUGAAGACGAUCAGAUACCGUCGUAGUCUUAACCAUAAACUAUGCCGACUAGGGAUCGGAUGAUGUUAAUUUUUAAUGACUCGU
rnacentral:rRNA from 1 species